GUUCAUAUGAAAAUUACAAUGUUUCUAUUAAUGUUGAUUUGGAUCUUUAUUCGAGUCUUCAAAUAUUGAAUCUUACAAAAAACAAUUAAUGAUCAAUUGAAAUAUACAAUACUUUUAAAAUUAGCACUGUUGGAACUGUCUUGUUGUUCAAUAGUGAAUAGUCCUGUCUUUGAUUAUUCCUGGACACAAAUAAAAUGGAUUUGUUGAGGAACAAGGCAGUUCUGUACAGUACUGACUUAUAGGAGGGUUGUGUUUUUUUCGUUCUUGUGCCAACCACAUUGUGGUUUUCAACACAAUUUGAGUUUCGGAACAAACCUUGUGAUUUUUAAAAACUUUCCCAACUUUAAAACAAACACUUAAGGUUGAAAUAAGCUAGGGUAUUGCCUUAACCUCAUUACAAAGCGGAACUUAUUUGAAUAUGGAUGAACUGAAGCUCAGCAAACUGUACUUAAUUUGGGGCUAAUGUGAGUUGGAGAAAAUAAAAGAAAAUUGACUGUCAUGCAUGGCAAGGAAAACCACAACCAGACUACAGGAUGAUUUUCUUUGGAAAAUGUUUUGUAUUAUAGGGAAGAAUAAACAAUCAGUAUUGAAAAGUAUAUAUUAAUUGUUUAGUAAAGCAAUCCAAUAAUUGGAAUAGUGAGGCUGAAGAUAAGAUCGACAGUUUUUUGUGCUACGUGGUAAUCAAUGCAUCAUUUGAUAACAUUUGAAUCAAUAUUCAAGCAGGGAAUUAACCAUAUUUAUUUCCUUUAUACCAAACAUACAUAACUACAUGAUUGUAGUAGACAUACAGGGACACUGCAACAGCACAUAGCUACCAACUACUGUGGACAAUUUGAAUUAGUAUUCAUCAAAAUGUGUGUGUGUUUCCAAGCUGUUUCAUCACACAUAAGAGGCAAUCACUGAGUUGCUCUUUGUGUAAAAUUCUUUUUUGAUUUAAAUAAUCUGACCUGCAACCCCAAUUUAUUAAUUAGG